rnacentral:rRNA from 1 species
CCUACGGGAGGCAGCAGUGAGGAAUAUUGGUCAAUGGGCGCGAGCCUGAACCAGCCAAGUCGCGUGAGGGAGGACGGCCCUACGGGUUGUAAACCUCUUUUGCCGGGGAGCAACGGGCGCCACGUGUGGCGCCACUGAGAGUACCCGGAGAAAAAGCAUCGGCUAACUCCGUGCCAGCAGCCGCGGUAAUACGGAGGAUGCGAGCGUUAUCCGGAUUUAUUGGGGUUAAAGGGUGCGUAGGCGGAUCGUUAAGUCAGGGGUCAAAUUGAGGGGCUCAACCCCUUCCCGCCAUUGAAACUGGCGAUCUUGAGUGGAAGAGAAGUAUGCGGAAUGCGUGGUGUAGCGGUGAAAUGCAUAGAUAUCACGCAGAACCCCGAUUGCGAAGGCAGCAUGCCGGCUUCCGACUGACGCUGAAGCACGAAAGCGUGGGGAUCGAACAGGAUUAGAUACCCGGGUAGUC